rnacentral:rRNA from 1 species
AUGCGUCUUGAGUUCCCUCGUAUUGCUCUAUACAAAUGCGGAACUGACAAUAAAAAAUGUUGUUCUGAUAGUACCAUUAUGUACAAGAAGUGGAAUAAUUUUGGGACUCCUGAGAUCCGUGGUCAUUAUCAUAGGCAUUAUUAUAUUUCAACUUUGGCCCAUAAUAGUCAUAUUUUGUUCGACUGCAAGAAACUACCCUGCUGGCAAAAUGGAACCAGCGGUACAACCACCGACACCAUUUGUUUGAAGAGAGGCCAAAUAGAUGCAUGCCUUCUAGGUGUGGCUCUUUUCACACUGACAUUGAUGAUUUCAGAUCUACUAUCAUUAGAAUUAUGUUUGGUGAGAAACUUUUAUGAACCAUGGGCAUGUUGUGUUGUGCCUAGACUUUUAUUUGUUCAAGGGUUGAUGUAA